rnacentral:rRNA from 1 species
UACGGAGGAUGCGAGCGUUAUCCGGAUUUAUUGGGUUUAAAGGGUGCGUAGGCGGCUUAGUAAGUCAGCGGUGAAAUUUUGCAGCUUAACUGUAACAGUGCCGUUGAUACUGCCAGGCUAGGAUUUGGUUGCUGUGGGUGGAAUGUGUGGUGUAGCGGUGAAAUGCUUAGAUAUCACGAGGAACUCCGAUUGCGUAGGCAGCUUACUAAACCAUAACUGACGCUCAUGCACGAAGGCGUGGGGAUCAAACAGGAUUAGA